UACGUAGGGUGCGAGCGUUGCCCGGAAUUAUUGGGCGUAAAGGGCUCGUAGGCGGUUUGUCGCGUCGGGAGUGAAAACUCAGGGCUUAACCCUGAGCCUGCUUCCGAUACGGGCAGACUAGAGGUAUGCAGGGGAGAACGGAAUUCCUGGUGUAGCGGUGAAAUGCGCAGAUAUCAGGAGGAACACCGGUGGCGAAGGCGGUUCUCUGGGCAGUACCUGACGCUGAGGAGCGAAAGUGUGGGGAGCGAACAGG
rnacentral:rRNA from 1 species